CUCCGUGCUCGCGCACCGAACGGUCUUACACGCUAUCCACCUCAGUCCCGUGACCCCCGGAGCUGCAAGGCCCGAGGGGAGUGAGUGUUGCCUCAGUCGUUGUUGCCUGCGUUGUAUACCCGUCCCGUCCCCCUUCGGAGGGGGAAGGGUCGGCCCGACACCGUCCCACGUCCAUCCGGUGCCUCGCAAGGGGCUUCCGCGGAGGACCAAGAAGCUGCUCCCGCGAUCCACUCGCGCCGGCUCGAUCGGCGAGUUUGGCCCGUGGCAUGCCGCUGCUCUCUCGGAUGCGGUGCAUGCCGAGGACUAUCGGGGGCCCCGGUUCCCGCACGUCCCGAACGAACGAUUCGACUCGAUUCUCCUGAGAGACGCUCGCGUCCGACGCCCGCAGGGCCCGGCGCGCGAGACGUCGCGGAGGGUUGCUACCUGGUUGAUCCUGCCAG
rnacentral:misc_RNA from 1 species